AAGAGGGAACCCGGUGCGAAUCCGGGACUGCCCCGCAGCGGUGAGUGGAAACGACCGCCGUCACACAGCACUGGGCCCGUUCCGGGCCUGGGAAGCGACGGCCAGUAGGUCCGGUGGGAACACCGGGUGUCCACGAGUCCGAAGACCU
rnacentral:ncRNA from 22 species